GUCAAAUAAAAAUAUAACAUUCGCGUCAAACGCUCGUCAAGUAUGAUUUAGAAUACGUGUGGAUUUCUUUGAUUGGUUAGAACGUUUUUGUCCAGAUACCAAAAGAAAUUGAUAUAUGAAAGUCACCAUGAAUUAUGAGAAGGAUGUUCGACCUGUAUUAUUUAAUAUCAGUGUUCCUUUUAUAACUAUGGUAGUCAGUAUCCUACCAGCCUUUGCUACUUUAUUCGCAGUUGUCUGGUCUGUUUUAUAUAACUUUGAUGCUGCAACAAGAACACAUUGUGGGGUGUACAACUUCCUACCCUCUAUCAGUGCAGCGAUUGGUCAGUUUUCUCCACAGAAAUACAUAUGGAGAAUUUGUAUAGCAUUACAUUGUGGGCCAAGGUUUCUGUUAGCCCUGUCAUAUUAUAAUUAUCAUACAUCGAUAGAUACGGGCAAAUAUGAUCAACUUUAUAAAGCAGGAGCAGCCUUAUGUUCGUUAUUACAUAUUAUAGAAAAUGUAGCUUUGGUUGUUCUUAGUUAUAUAUCCUCAGAUGAUAAUUAUGCUAUUCAUGAGAAUAUGUUUAUAACAUUCAUCGUGACAUCCAUUCUUUACAUGAUGUUGACUUGUUUUCUGUUUUCAUGGGGAAGAACCCAGAAUGGGAGACAACUCACUAGAUUGGAAAAGAAGUCACUGAAUUAUAAAGUUUAUAUUUUCUUCUUCAAUAUCAGUAUUUUCUUACUUUCACUUUAUUUCUUCUUCCGUCAUAAUCGUCAUUGUGAGCCUAGAGUUUAUUCUGUAUUUGCAGCUUUAGAAUAUGUUGUAGUAUUUUCAAACAUUGCCUUCCAUGCCACACUUUAUUUUGAUGUACCCAAUUACACAUUAGCUCUAGGAGAUCAUACACUGUUUAGAGCGGAUAGCAAUUCAAAUAAGUUAUUGUAAAUACCAACAGAGGAAGCCAUGAUGAACUAUUCUUAUUGGUUAAAAACACAACCUUACGUCAGAUGGAUGUUGUCACAUUAACCUUAUAGUAUGUUUAAUAUAAUGGAUACGAAAUGAGUAUGGACAGAAAAUUUAAAAAAAAAAUAAAACUGUGUUAUGUAUGUUUUAUUAUCGACAAAAGAAAAAUUAUACGACAACACGUUGGCUGGCAACCUAUCUUAAUUAUCACAGUAGCCUUUACUGUAAGAUUUUGUAGAAGGUAUGUUAAUGAAAAUAAGUCUCUAAACUUAAAAUAACCUUUCACAAUUCACUGCAGAACCUUUUCUGAUUUCACGGACAUAGGCGUACGAGCUGGGGGUGCUGGGUGAGCGGCCGCCCCCCCAUUUUGGGCACCAAAUGCUGGGAAAAUUUGGGCACACAAUUGUAUUUUGUAAAAGUUGUAUAAAAAAAGAUAUUGUGUUCUUGAAUGUGUCCAAUUUAACAGCGAAUUUAUUAUUAUUAUGUAACAUACUAAGAACCUAACUACAUUUUUUGGGCACCAACAUCCACCGCCCCCCCCCCCCCA